rnacentral:tRNA from 1 species
GCUUCGUUAGCUCAGUCGGUAGAGCGUCAGUCUCAUAUGUACCUAGUGUCAUCUGAAGGUCGAGAGUUCGAGCCUCCCACGGAGCA